CUCACCAGAAGCGACUGGCGCACACACAGAUCGGAAUAGCCAGUUGAAGUCCAAUGUGCGGGGCCUGAAAAUCAUUGUUUCAAGCCCAAGGUGCAUGAUCAUUGAAGGGGUAGACUGCUAAAAAUGUAGGAUCUUUAUACUGAAAGAAGCGUGCUUGGAUUUUUCCGGAGCGCUUUUUGUGUUUGCUUCCAGUGAAACCAAAUACGUUUCACCUUGAUUUAAAUGAACCUUUGACUACAUUUAAGCUCCCCUAAAACCUCAGCCCUGUGCAUGGAGCUGAUGAAGAGUGAAAUAGACUGUGUUGACAAUUAGGAACCGUGUUUUGGAGGAAAGAAGUUGUCCCACUGCAUUUCCUACUGAGAUACUAUCUGACAUCUCUGUUAAAUGGGGAU
rnacentral:lncRNA from 1 species